CUGUCAUUCGUGACUCAACCAUUCACCCCUCUACCCCUGCCUCUCCCGUCCCUCCAGCCUCUCUUUUCAACGAGGAGCCAGGAAAUUGGCUGCCUCCCCCCAUCCUGGGGUUCCAAGCUUUGGCUCAAGUUUUUGACUCAACCUGAGGAAACAUCACAUCCCAGAUCAAGCCUGGGCUUGGGAACAAGCCCUGAUUUUCUCUGUGUCUGGAGGUCCAGACUUUGGAGUUGGAAACACCAUGACAAUUCGAGUUUUAAAUCUUCUUGGCAGAAAAGAAAGGAUACAGGAUAGAGGACAUGAGUGGGCAUGGCAGGGAGAAGACUCUGAGGGAGCAUCCUUGACAAAACAGACGACUUAGUGACAGUGGACCCACAUCCUCACAUGACAACUGGCUGGAACUCUUUUAUCUUACCUGCCUGGCCUCCUUGGGCACCUUUUGACCUUUUAGCUAGACUGAACCCUUCUUAACAGAAGGAACAAGGUCAGAGACAAGACGUGAUCUGGUGACAAUGUCAAGUGGAUCGGUGGCAGAACCAAGACCAGAAUUCCAGUG
ensembl:lncRNA